GACGAACGCUGGCGGCGUGCUUAACACAUGCAAGUCGAACGGAAAGGCCCUGCUUUUGUGGGGUGCUCGAGUGGCGAACGGGUGAGUAACACGUGAGUAACCUGCCCUUUACUUUGGGAUAACUUCAGGAAACUGGGUCUAAUACCGUAUAUGAGCUCCUGCUGCAUGGUGGGGGUUGGAAAGUUUCGGCGGUUGGGGAUGGACUCGCGGCUUAUCAGCUUGUUGGUGGGGUAGUGGCUUACCAAGGCUUUGACGGGUAGCCGGCCUGAGAGGGUGACCGGCCAAAUUGGGACUGAGAUACGGACCAGACUCCUACGGGAGGCAGCAGUGGGGAAUAUUGCACAAUGGGCGGAAGCAUGAUGAAGAAACGCCGCGUGCGGGAUGACGGCCUUCGGGUUGUAAACCGCUUUCGCCUGUGACGAAGCGUGAGUGACGGUAAUGGGUAAAGAAGCACCGGCUAACUACGUG
rnacentral:rRNA from 1 species